rnacentral:lncRNA from 1 species
AACUUAUUUUCUCUCAAAAGAGUGUGAGGCCACAUUUAUACAGAUCAGAGAAAAAGACUUUUUCUCUCUAAUCUUGAGAGAAAAUUUUUCUCUCUAAUCUUGAGAGAAAAUUUUUCUCCUACUAGUUGCUAUUGGUAGUGAUAAAGGCGCCCAUACGUCAAAUGUAGAUUAAACCUGAGUCAUAACCUGAAAGAUCAUUGGUAACAAUUCGUGUUCUAAUAAGCGUGGUGGUGACAAAUCGUGAUUUAACGGGCAUGGUAGUGACGGAUCGUGAUUUGGGAGCCUAGUUUCACUUUAGCAGAAAAAACAAAGAUUGUUCAUCUUCUCAGAUUUUCAAGGUACGAUUUCUAAAUUACAAAUUCUUAUAUAUUGUAUGAGACCGGU